GGGCUGGGAGGACCCGAGCAACUGCUCCGUGUGAACUGUGCCGACGGGCGGGAGGAUGGGAGCCGGGAACUGAGAGUCGCGGAGGAAGGACACGGGCGGCCGGCGUCUCACCGGUGAGCUUAAAAGAUUGCCAUUUAGUGUCAUUCAGGAUCUACUAAGCAUCAUUUUUGCAUGACUACAGAAAAAGGAUAUCUUUACAGAACCAGUUCCUUUUUGAAGUUCAUAAUCUGGGCCAUCUUCAGACAGAAGGGCAUUUGUUAAUGAAGAAACAUCAGAGCUGCUAAAUACACCAGGACACGGGGGAUCCUAGUGACCAAGGAUGGCUUCCUCUUGGAAACUUAUUCUGUUUCUGUCAGUCACUGGAUGUCUUUCAGGUAAAAAGCUUUUCUUUUGUAUCAAAUAACAAAAAUAUAUAAAGAUCUUCAUUCACUAUAUCCUCAGGUGUUCAUUUAAAUUUUAAAUCAGUAUUCAAACUUUUCCACAGAAGAAAGAGAAAACAAUCCUUAUACCUUUGUUAACACUGCAGAAAGUCACAUAUAAUAAGGUACUUAGAAAAAUACCAUAGAAG